rnacentral:rRNA from 1 species
CCUACGGGUGGCAGCAGUGAGGAAUAUUGGUCAAUGGACGAGAGUCUGAACCAGCCAAGUAGCGUGAAGGAUGACUGCCCUAUGGGUUGUAAACUUCUUUUAUAUGGGAAUAAAAUGUUCCACGUGUGGGAUUUUGUAUGUACCAUAUGAAUAAGGAUCGGCUAACUCCGUGCCAGCAGCAGCGGUAAUACGGAGGAUCCGAGCGUUAUCCGGAUUUAUUGGGUUUAAAGGGAGCGUAGGUGGAUUGUUAAGUCAGUUGUGAAAGUUUGCGGCUUAACCGUAAAAUUGCAGUUGAAACUGGCAGUCUUGAGUACAGUAGAGGUGGGCGGAAUUCGUGGUGUAGCGGUGAAAUGCUUAGAUAUCACGAAGAACUCCGAUUGCGAAGGCAGUUCACUGGACUGCAACUGACACUGAGGCUCGAAAGUGUGGGUAUCAAACAGGAUUAGAUACCCUUGUAGUC